UACGUAGGGGGCAAGCGUUGUCCGGAUUUAUUGGGCGUAAAGAGCGUGUAGGCGGCAAAUUAAGUCAUCUGUGAAAUCUCCGAGCUUAACUCGGAACGGUCAGGUGAUACUGAUCUGCUAGAGUGCGGAAGGGGCAAUCGGAAUUCUUGGUGUAGCGGUGAAAUGCGUAGAUAUCAAGAGGAACACCUGAGGUGAAGACGGGUUGCUGGGCCGACACUGACGCUGAGGAGCGAAAGCGUGGGGAGCAAACAGG
rnacentral:rRNA from 1 species